UUAAUUGAAACCAAAAAGAGGUAAAUCAUUGUUAAUGAUUAAAUUGAAUAAAAAUUCCAAUUAAA
rnacentral:tRNA from 1 species